UGGGGAAUUUUGCACAAUGGGGACAACCGAUGAUACAGCAAUGCGGCGUGCAGGAAGAAGGCCUUCGGGUUGUAAACUGCUUUUGUUCGGAACGAUACGUCUGUGGUUAAUACCCGGGGGUAAUGACGGUACCGUAAGAAUAAGCACCGGCUAACUACGUGCCAGCAGCCGCGGUAAUAAGUAGGGUGCGAGCGUCUAUCGGAAUUAGGGGGCGUAAAGUGUGCGCGGGCGGUGGGUUAGACAGGCGUGAAAUCCCCGGGCUCAACCUGGGAACGGCGCUUGUGAGUGCAGUGGUGGAGUGCGGCAGAGGGGGAUGGAAUUCCGCGUGUGGCAGUGAAAUGAGUAGAUAUGCGGAGGAACACCGAUGGCGAAGGCAAUCCCCUGGGCCAGCACUGACGUUCAGGCAAGAAAGCGUGGGGAGCAAACAGGAUUAGAUACCCUGGUAGUCCACGCCAUAAACGAAGUCAAGUGGUUGGGGGGUCUCUUCUGACUCAGUAACGAAGCU
rnacentral:rRNA from 1 species